rnacentral:rRNA from 1 species
UACAGAGGUCUCAAGCGUUGUUCGGAUUCAUUGGGCGUAAAGGGUGUGUAGGUGGCGCCGUAAGUCGGGUGUGAAAUCUUGGAGCUUAACUCCGAAACUGCAUUCGAUACUGCCGUGCUUGAGGACUGGAGAGGAGACUGGAAUUUACGGUGUAGCGGUGAAAUGCGUAGAUAUCGUAAGGAAGACCAGUGGCGAAGGCGGGUCUCUGGACAGUUCCUGACGCUGAGGCACGAAGGUCAGGGGAGCAAACGGGG